rnacentral:rRNA from 1 species
AACCGCCCAAACUAAUCCAGUAAUGCUAAGCAUCUGAAUCCCCUAGAUGGAUCCCUUCGGGGUGAAGCGUGGGGCCUAGCGUGCGACCCUAUGCUGGUGCGGUUAGCGUAUUAACAGGUGUGACGCAGGAAGGUAGCUGAGCCGGGCGAUGGUUGACCCGGUCUAAGGAUGUAGGCCGAGAGAUAGGCAAAUCCGUCUCUCAUAUAAGGUUGAGACCCGAUGGGUAGCCCGUAAGGGUGAAAUCAGUGAUCCUAUGCUGCCAAGAAAAGCAUCGACGCGAGGUUUUAGUCACCCGUACCCCAAACCGACUCAGGUGAUCAGGUAGAGAAUACUAAGGAGAUCGAGAGAAUCGUGGUUAAGGAACUCGGCAAAAUGCCCCCGUAACUUCGGGAGAAGGGGGGCCUGAGGCGUGAACGGACUUGCUCCGGGAGCGUUCGAAGGCCGCAGAGACCAGUGGGAAGCGACUGUUUACUAAAAACACAGGUCCGUGCUAAGUCGCAAGACGAUGUAUACGGACUGACGCCUGCCCGGUGCUGGAAGGUUAAGAGGAACGGUUAGCCGCAAGGCGAAGCUGAGAAUUUAAGCCCCAGUAAACGGCGGUGGUAACUAUAACCAUCCUAAGGUAGCGAAAUUCCUUGUCGGGUAAGUUCCGACCUGCACGAAUGGCGUAACGACUUCCCAGCUGUCUCAACCGCGAACUCGGCGAAAUUGCAUUACGAGUAAAGAUGCUCGUUACGCGCAGCAGGACGGAAAGACCCCGUGACCUUUACUACAGCUUGGUAUUGGUGUUCGGUGUGGCUUGUGUAGGAUAGGUGGGAGACUGUGAAGCUUGGACGCUAGUUCAGGUGGAGUCAUUGUUGAAAUACCACUCUGGUCAUAUUGGAUACCUAACUUCGAACCGUGAUCCGGUUCAGGGACAGUGCCUGGUGGGUAGUUUAACUGGGGCGGUUGCCUCCUAAAAAGUAACGGAGGCGCCCAAAGGUUCCCUCAACCUGGUUGGUAAUCAGGUGUCGAGUGUAAGUGCACAAGGGAGCUUGACUGUAAGACUGACAAGUCGAGCAGGGACGAAAGUCGGGACUAGUGAUCCGGCAGUGGCUUGUGGAAGCGCUGUCGCUCAACGGAUAAAAGGUACCUCGGGGAUAACAGGCUGAUCUUGCCCAAGAGUCCAUAUCGACGGCAUGGUUUGGCACCUCGAUGUCGGCUCGUCGCAUCCUGGGGCUGGAGUAGGUCCCAAGGGUUGGGCUGUUCGCCCAUUAAAGCGGUACGCGAGCUGGGUUUAGAACGUCGUGAGACAGUUCGGUCCCUAUCCGCUGCGCGCGCAGGAAAUUUGAGAAGAUCUAUCCCUAGUACGAGAGGACCGGGAUGGACGAACCUCUGGUGUGUCAGUUGUUCCGCCAGGAGCACCGCUGAUUAGCUACGUUCGGAACGGAUAACCGCUGAAAGCAUCUAAGCGGGAAGCCGGCUUCGAGAUGAGAUUUCCAUCCCUUCGGGGGAGAGGCUCGCAGCUAGACUACUGCGUUGAUAGGCCGGAUGUGGAAGUGGGGACUAAAGACCCAUGGAGCUGACCGGUACUAAUAAGCCGAUAAUUUGAUAACAC